rnacentral:rRNA from 1 species
AUGAACGCUGGCGGCGUGCCUAAUACAUGCAAGUCGAGCGAACGGACGAGAAGCUUGCUUCUCUGAUGUUAGCGGCGGACGGGUGAGUAACACGUGGAUAACCUACCUAUAAGACUGGGAUAACUUCGGGAAACCGGAGCUAAUACCGGAUAAUAUUUUGAACCGCAUGGUUCAAAAGUGAAAGACGGUCUUGCUGUCACUUAUAGAUGGAUCCGCGCUGCAUUAGCUAGUUGGUAAGGUAACGGCUUACCAAGGCAACGAUGCAUAGCCGACCUGAGAGGGUGAUCGGCCACACUGGAACUGAGACACGGUCCAGACUCCUACGGGAGGCAGCAGUAGGGAAUCUUCCGCAAUGGGCGAAAGCCUGACGGAGCAACGCCGCGUGAGUGAUGAAGGUCUUCGGAUCGUAAAACUCUGUUAUUAGGGAAGAACAUAUGUGUAAGUAACUGUGCACAUCUUGACGGUACCUAAUCAGAAAGCCACGGCUAACUACGUC